rnacentral:misc_RNA from 1 species
UGAGGAGUGACGCUCCGAAGUAUGUAUACGUGGAGCUCCAAGGAGUUAUGCUCCGCACCUCGCGACGCUCCGCACUUCGCUUCGUGACGGUGAACUCCGAACCCGUGAAAGCUGAUGUGGGAACCUCGGCUAACACACCUGGACAGACACACGCCAGCUCCAGCACCCAGUCGCAUCUCCAGUCUCCAGCUGCUGUAUCCUACAACCCUGUACUACGAAGCUGUAGUAAAUUCCACAUUGCUGACGUGUAUUAUUACUCACUACAUGGCGCAGUGAGUAGGAUCAUGGAGACAAGAGGACAGGCGACGGCAGCGCAGACGCUGGACAAGCUGAUGGUGCUAAUCGAAGCUCAACAGUCGCAAGUUAGCGAGGACCGGCGGCUGGUACGGGAACAGAACGCCACCAUACAGCAGUUGAUGUCCCAGGUACUGGUGCCUCGUUCGAAUGAUGCGGCAGAUGGCGACGCCACUACCCCGCAGCCAGCGCCACGACGCCACGUCAGUCGACCACACGCACAACCGCCACACAAGCUCUCUCCUGACUCAUCUCUACGUGAAUUCAAGGUAUGGCGUAGUACGUGGUCCUACUAUGAGGAGCUUCUACAGCUUCAUGACCAGCCUGUGCGGACGCAGGUGGCGCACUUACGUUCGUGCCUCACCCCUGAGAUGCGUGGGACUUUGGCGCACGCUGUCGGGAUUGCAGAGGACGAGAACACCAGUCGAUAACCUCGUCCUCGUCCAUGCACACUUCCAAAGGCAGCGCAACGUGACCUUGCGUCGUGUGUAAGUUCGAGGAACGCCGCCAGGGUACCGAUAGUGACCAGGAAGCAAGACCGUGUGUAAGCAAGGUGCGGUUCUCAUUACCGCAGCGUUGCAGUACACGCCCACGCCGGAGCCUGUAUUGUCUUGUCCCGUAACAAGCCUGGGGAGGGAGGUGUGAGGAGUGGCGCUCCGAAGUAUGUAUACGUGGAGCUCUAAGGAGUUAUGCUCCGCACCUCGCGACGCUCCGCACUUCGCUUCGUGACGGUGAACUUCGAACCCGUGAAGCUGAUGUGGGAACCUCGGCUAACACACCUGGACAGAGACACGCCAGCUCCAGCACCCAGUCGCAUCUCCAGUCUCCAGCUGCUGUAUCCUGCAACCCUGUACUACGAAGAUGUAGUAAAUUCCACAUUGCUGACGUGUAUUAUUACUCACCACAGAAAGAUGCAUUUUUUUUCU